rnacentral:tRNA from 1 species
AGGAGCGUAGCUCAGUUGGUUAGAGCGCCACGUUGACAUCGUGGAGGUCGGCGGUUCGAAUCCGCCCGCCCCUA